CGCACUCGAGCGGGAGAGUCCCGUGGCCACCAGCUACGGGCGCCGAAGGAGCAACACCUCUCCGUCAACCUCUCAGGCACCCGGACCGCACGAGUUAA
rnacentral:ncRNA from 2 species